GUUAAAAAGCUCGUAGUUGGAUUUGUGGUGUACUUCGGCGGCCCGUCACUAUGUGAUGGAGCUUGCUGAAGUCGCCAUCCUUGGGUGGAUCCUGUGUGGCAUUAAGUUGUCGUGCAGGGGAUGCCCAUCGUUUACUGUGAAAAAAUUAGAGUGUUCAAAGCAGGCUUAUGCCGUUGAAUAUAUUAGCAUGGAAUAAUAAGAUAGGACCUUGGUACUAUUUUGUUGGUUUGCGCACCAAGGUAAUGAUUAAUAGGGACAGUUGGGGGUAUUCGUAUUUCAUUGUCAGAGGUGAAAUUCUUGGAUUUUUGAAAGACGAACUACUGCGAAAGCAUUUACCAAGGAUGUUUUCAUUAAUCAAGAACGAAAGUUAGGGGAUCGAAGAUGAUUAGAUACCAUCGUAGUCUUAACCAUAAACUAUGCCGACGAGGGAUUGGUGGAGUUUCGUUAUGUCUCCCUCAGCACCUUAUGAGAAAUCACAAGUCUUUGGGUUCCGGGGGGAG
rnacentral:rRNA from 1 species